GGAAUGAGCGGCGGACGGGUGAGUAACACGUGGGCAACCUACCUGUAAGACUGGGAUAACUCAUGGAAACGUGAGCUAAUACCGGAUAAGACAUCGCUUCACAUGAAGGGAUGAUGAAAGAUGGCUCCGGCUAUCACUUACAGAUGGGCCCGCGGCGCAUUAGCUAGUUGGUAGGGUAAUGGCCUACCAAGGCAACGAUGCGUAGCCGACCUGAGAGGGUGAUCGGCCACACUGGGACUGAGACACGGCCCAGACUCCUACGGGAGGCAGCAGUAGGGAAUCUUCCGCAAUGGACGAAAGUCUGACGGAGCAACGCCGCGUGAACGAUGAAGGUUUUCGGAUCGUAAAGUUCUGUUGUUAGGGAAGAACACGUACCGUUCGAAUAGGGCGGUAUCUUGACGGUACCUAACGAGAAAGCCCCGGC
rnacentral:rRNA from 1 species